ensembl:lncRNA
AAAUUGGGGGGAAUAAAUAAAAAAUGAAAUGUGACCUGUGGCGUACUUAUAUUUAUAUGGCUUUUUCCAGUACGUUAAACAUAUUUUCAUCACCAAAACCUGUAAUUUGACUGGAGAUUUUCAAACAUUUGCAGACAACUUUGAUAGACAGACAGACAUAAAAAGAAAUUGAGUUACAGCAGCUAUGUGAGGGCUUUUAAGGGGUGUAUAUUGUAAGCCUGUUUAGUCAAAGGCUUGUGUGUUUGUGGCACCUCACCACUGUUCUCAAGUUCAGUAUGCAAGCUUUUUAUAAUAUAUCUGGCUUCAGAAGGUCAAGGCAACCCUAAAGCUUUUGUAUUGGUCUGUUUUGGUCAGGUCCUAAUAAAACUGCGAGGAGUCUGCUGAGUCACUGAUGUUCUGGUUUGGUGACCCUGCACCGAGGACACUGCAACUUUGCAAGAUCUGCCUGCAGCGAUGGCGCUGCAGCAUCACAGAAAAGCGGGCCUGUGAACACAGAGAGAGGCAGAGAAGCCAUUUAAAGGGCAACCCUACUACUGCAGCUUCACCUUAAAGAGUCGGUUGAAGGGGACACUGCUGGUUCAGGGUCACCCUGUUCAGCUCACUUGCUUAUAGGGAGGGUGGAGGGGCUUCUCAGCAGAGUUGAACACCUAAGAGGAAUGUGGGUCAGUUUCAUGUAUUUGGAGCAGACAGGCUUGUGCAAGUUGAUAUGCACUGCCGAGGCUGUAGAGGGCGCUGCAGACACUGGCCUGGAUCAGCUGGGCUUCUAGUGGUCUGUUACUGAAAGAACACGUGUGUGUGCUCGUUUUUGUUUGGCCUACAUAACCUUAUAUACGCUGACUCACUCUCUUUUCUAUAUAGGGGAAAGCCCCUAAUAAGGCCACAUCUAUGCCCCCUUUGUUGAGUAGGACUCCUUCAGUUGUCUAAUCACAUUUGUUUUGUCAUUUGUGUCUAUACUUAUUUUUUUAAAAAGCUGUAGAUAUUUCUGUCAGUGGAUCCUGAAGUUAAUACCUCUCUGUUAAACCCCUGACAAUCUCAGGCUUAUUACAAACUAAGGCUUAUUAUUCAGUAAUUACAGGGACUUUAAUGCAACCUAGCUGAGCUAUUCCUAGGUUAUAGAAGUGUGUGAUAAGACUUUGGGCCUGCCAUUGAGCCCUGGCCAGUGAAGGGGUUAAGUAUUGUGGUGGAAUGAAAACAGCAAACAAUAUUUUAUUUACAGGACGCCUACAAAUAUAAUGUAUGCUUACCAUGUAAGAAAUUAAGGGAAUGUGUGGACGGUGUCGUUAUGCUAAACUGUAGCUGGUUUUGCUUAAAAGUGUAAUAAAAACAUUUAAUGUCGUACAUAGUGAAGCAGAUCUCAUGUUUUAUUUUAAUUGUAAGUAGCAAAGCCAAGCGUUUCCUUUUCACUUCACCCAUGCUGAGCCCCUGGGGUUUUUCGUGCAGUCCUUUUAAAAUCAAUUGCUAAAAUCCAUAGCAGUGGGAUAGUAGGCAUAUUAGGGCUGCAGCAGCAAGUUGGAAUUUAAGCAUAUUCUGUAAUUACACAACAAAUUCACCAAUAAAUUCAGAAAUCGUAUUGAUUGCCCUAAUUAAUAACAAAAUAAUGUAUUUUUUCCUUAAAAUCAAUACAGGUUCCAUAUAUAGUAUGAACAAGGUUUCCUGAAUGGUGCAAGCAAAGUAGCAGUUGUAGUAUUAAUACUAUUCUCUAUAGAAUCUUCCAGAUAUGUAGAUUUGAUAUAGAGUUGCAUGCAGUCAUUUGAAAUCAAAUUACAUGUUUUAUUAAUUUUCUAAGUGAAAAUAAAGGGGCAGGCUAAAAUGUGGCAGUUUUUUCAAGUUUAGUGCACAGUUUCUGUUUAUUUGCAGUGUUUAACAUUAUAGAAAAAAUAAACAUAAAAUAUCAAAUGUGCCAUAACAGUAAUGACGCGUCAACCAGUUAAAUGGCCAGGGCCCCUGGCAGACCCAAAGUUUUAUUACACGCUCUUGUAACCUAGGGAAUAGCUCAGCCAGUUUGUACUGAAGUCUUUGUAGUUACUGAAUAAUACGCCUUAUUCGUAUGCUAUUAGGGGCGGCACGGUGGCGUGGUGGGUAGCGCUGUCGCCUCACAGCGAGGAGGGCGUGGGUUCGAUUCCCCGGCUGGGUGACCAGGGUCCUCUCUGUGUGGAGUCUGCAUGUUGGUUUCGUGGGUUUCCUCCGGGUUCUGCCCUGCGAUGGACUGGCGACCUGUCCAGGGUGUAUCCUGCCUUUCGCCCGAAGACUGCUAGGAUAGGCUCCAGCACCCCCCCACGACCCUGACAGAGAAGCAGCUUAGAAAAUGGAUGGAUGGAUGGAUGGAUGGAUGGAUGGAUGGAUAGUAUGCUAUUAGCCUGAGAUUUUAAAGGGUUAAAAUGUGCAGAAGUGUAGAUGAUGGGUUCACUUAUUUCACUCAGAAAAUCUGGCCAGGGGCAUGAAAACUUUUGCACAUGACUGUAUAUGUGCAGUACCGUGCAAAGUCAUGGGCACCUUGUUUUUGAACUAUUUAUCACUUUAUUUAAACAAUUUAUCUUGGAAGUAGUUGUGUUGAAAUGCCAUAUAUCAGUGGAAUAAAAAUAUACAUAAAUACUGUCAAGUAAAUUACAAUUUUCUUCGUCCAUCGCAAAGAUUUGUUCAGCUCAAUCAGCAGCGUUUAACAUUUAAAGUAUUAAUUACUAUUAAUACUAGGUUGCCCUGAGGAGAGGUAUAGAAAGUGUUAAACAAACACAUAAAAUUUGCAUUAAUGUGAGGUGUAUUUAUUCUAAUAUCAGUGGGGAUUUUGAGCAAAUAAACGGUUGCUGCUCAGAUAACUGCGUUUUGAGCUCUUAUGCUCUUUCCUGCCUGAAACAUUUGCACAGCCAUAUAUAUACAUUAUAUAUUGAUACAUGUCAACAUGUACGUCUUGACAUGCAAACCUAACUGAGACAUAAAAUGGAGAGCUAAUAUAGCCACAUAUUUCCACUUUGAUUUCCAUUUAUUGAUAUGCUUUGAUUGCCAUAGUUUCUACUGCAAGUUCCUUCUCUCAUUGUUGUGGCCAGUAAAGCCACAAGGUGGCAGGAUGUUCCCAGUUAACCCUUUAAGGUGGACAUGCAAAGCCCUGUGCAGGGAAAGUGUUCCUUCUAUGCCACAGUACUGCGUAAGGACACAGGGCCUGUAAAUGUUUAAAAUGGAAUUUAAAUCUCUCGUAUCAAUAAUUGAACUCAAACUUAUUUAAUAUAUUAUGCAGUUAGUAAUCAGAAGGCAGCAAUACUGCUGUGUGUGUGUGUGUGUGUGUGUGUGUGUGUGUGUGUGUUGGGGGUGUUGUGAACACAUAUGAAUGCAUUUACAACUCCCUUGUUAUCUUCUGCAUUGGCUAGCCUGAUGUAG